UACGAAGGGUGCAAGCGUUACUCGGAAUUACUGGGCGUAAAGCGUGCGUAGGUGGUGAGUUAAGUCUGUCGUGAAAGCCCCCGGGCUCAACCUGGGAAUGGCGAUGGAUACUGGCUCGCUAGAGUGCGGUAGAGGAGAGUGGAAUUCCCAGUGUAGAGGUGAAAUUCGUAGAUAUUGGGAAGAACACCGGUGGCGAAGGCGGCUAUCUGGACCGACAUUGACGGCUGAGGCGCGAAAGCGUGGGGAGCAAACAGG
rnacentral:rRNA from 1 species